rnacentral:misc_RNA from 1 species
AAAAGCCUUUAAACAGGAUGAUCAACCUUUUCCUUUAAAAAUGGGGCCUUGCAAAGUUAAUUAGUUCAAGAUACAAACUAUUUUAGGCAACCGAGUAGGCAGAAGAAUCAGUUUUUUUUCCCAUGAAAAUAAAUCAUGUUAAAUUGAAGUUAAAUUUCAGCCUCAAAGCCAAUUGUGCCUUGGGUACAUAUAACAAUUCAUAUACCAGAAAACUGCAGCAUGCUAAAAUCUGGAACAGGUAAUGAGCACAAAUUGUCAAAAAUGGAAAGAGAGAGAGAGAUAAACUAUAGCUUAACUAUUGAGCAGUACACACUGAUCAAUGGGUUUACCUGAGUUUGAAGUUAUA